GACGAACGCUGGCGGCGUGCCUAAGAUAUGCAAGUCGAGCGGUAAGGUUCUCACUCUGUACUUUAGAGAUCUAGAGUAUGGUGUGAGAAUACACGAGCGGCGGACGGCUGAGUAACGCGUAGGAACAUACCCCAAAGUGAGGAAUAAGCUCGGGAAACCGAGUCUAAUGCCGCAUAAUCUCUUCGGAGCAAAGCUUUCGGGCGCUAUGGGGAGUGGCCUGCGUAUGAUUAGCUUGUUGGUGAGGUAAAAGCUCACCAAGGCGACGAUCAUUAGCUGGUCUGAGAGGAUGACCAGCCAGACUGGAACUGAGAACGGU
rnacentral:rRNA from 1 species